UGGGGGAUAUUGGACAAUGGGGGGGAACCCGUGAUCCAUCGACGCCGCGUGAGUGAAGAAGUAUUUCGGUAUGUAAAGCUCUAUCAGCAGGGAAGAAAGAAAUGACGGUACCUGAGUAAGAAGCCCCGGCUAACUACGUGCC
rnacentral:rRNA from 1 species